rnacentral:rRNA from 1 species
AUACGUAUGUCGCAAGCGUUAUCCGGAAUUAUUGGGCGUAAAGCGAGUCUAGGCGGCUUGUUAAGUCAGAUAUUAAAAUGCGGGGCUCAACUCCGUAUUGCGUUUGAAACUGGCAGGCUAGAGUACUGGAGAGGUGGGCGGAACUACAAGUGUAGAGGUGAAAUUCGUAGAUAUUUGUAGGAAUGCCGAUAGUGAAGACAGCUCACUGGACAGAUACUGACGCUAAAGCUCGAAAGCGUGGGGAGCGAACAGGAUUAGAUACCCUAGUAGUCC